rnacentral:lncRNA from 1 species
GCAAACCAAAUUGUAACUGCCAAAGAUAAUUUAAUUUUAAUUUAUGACUCAUCUGGUCUUAGCAUCCACGUCCACUAUGGGAUACUUCAGGGCAAUGAGUGCUAUGACUAUGGGGAAUUUAGGCAAGACAAUAGUUAAGUUUGUGUAAUCUGUUAUGUAUGUUACUCUUACGGCACAUCUCCAUCUGGACCAGCCACAUCUUAAGUGUUCAAUAGUCGCAUGUGACUAAUGGCUUCUGUAUUGGACAGUUGGUCUAGAACUAAACCGACAAUGUCGCCAAGGUGUGCCAGUAUAAGGACAGACUGAAAGAAUCACUGGAUCUGGACCUCAGUACGUGAACUUGCUCCUGCCAUAAGAGUUGUUUCCACAGGGCAUUCAGUCAUGGAACAGUUGCCAUUUUAGGAAGUAAGGUGGAAGAUCAGAGAACUCCUUCCUUUUGUCUGCUCCUAAUCAGCACCUUAGGAUGAAGUUGGGUAUUACCAUUUUCUCCUUUAACAACUGAGGAACCUGAGCACAGAAAGACUGAAGAAUUUGUCUAAGAUUAAGCACUUAGUAAGCAAUGGGACCGAGUGGGAUUCAAACCCAGGCAGUCUAGAAUCUUAGUCUAUGCUUUUACCACAAUGUUAUAUCACUUCUCAAAUAUAUUUAGCUCCAGAUAAGACCACUGAGUCCCAGUGAAGAAACGUGUUUUGGUGUUUCCUUUCUUAUAUAAGACUGGAGCUUGCCAGUAGGAAGUAGUAUCUGAGGAAAUCUUCUGGCAUAUAAAUUAACCAGCGAGUAAUUUACCUACAGAAAUCACAAAAUGACCAAUGGCCAAAUCCCAAGUUUCACAAAAACUUGAAUUAAAAUGCUUUCCUUAACCUUUCAGAAAUCUCACUUAAAUUUCCACAUAGCCAGUUUUUCUGGACCUGUAUCCUUACCAGAUUGACAGCACUAUGUUGGUGUCCAGUAGCUGCUGCUCCUUUUAGGUCAGAUUGUGCUCCUGUGUUUAUUAUAGCUCUUCAUAGCUCCUACCAUAACUGGCUGCAUGAAGUUGGGCCCUCUGAUCCACUGCUUCAUGCUCUCAUUCUUCCUAAAUUGUACAAGCUGAGGGUUGGGAAGGACCUACUCUAAGGGAUACUUCUAUGUUUUUGAAGACUGAUGUUUAUACAAUAUUGGUAACUCAAGGAAAAUAAUAUAAAA